UAGGGAAUAUUGGGCAAUGGAGGGAACUCUGACCCAGCCAUGCCGCGUGCAGGAUGAAGGCGUUAUGCGUUGUAAACUGCUUUUAUAUAGGAAGAAAUAGUCCUUGCGAGGAAAGUUGACGGUACUAUAUGAAUAAGCACCGGCUAACUCCGUGCCAGCAGCCGCGGUAAUACGGAGGGUGCAAGCGUUGUCCGGAUUUAUUGGGUUUAAAGGGUGCGUAGGCGGUUUAUAAGUCAGUGGUGAAAGACGGUCGCUCAACGAUUGCAGUGCCAUUGAUACUGGUAGACUUGAGUAUGAUUGAGGUAGCUGGAAUGGAUAGUGUAGCGGUGAAAUGCAUAGAUAUUAUCCAGAACACCAAUUGCGUAGGCAAGUUACUAAGUCAUAACUGACGCUGAGGCACGAAAGUGUGGGUAUCAAACAGGAUUAGAUACCCCCGUAGUCCCUGAGCGGGCUGGCAAGGCGCAU
rnacentral:rRNA from 1 species